AGAAUCAACGCUGGCGGCGUGCCUAACACAUGCAAGUCGCACGAGAAAGGGUAGCAAUACCUGAGUACAGUGGCGCACGGGUGAGUAACACGUGAAUGAUCUACCUCCGAGUGGGGAAUAACUGAGAGAAAUCUUAGCUAAUACCGCAUAAUACCCACGGGUCAAAGCAGCAAUGCGCUUGGAGAGGAGUUCGCGGCCGAUUAGUUAGUUGGCGGGUAAUGGCCCACAAGACGAUGAUCGGUA
rnacentral:rRNA from 1 species